GAUGAACGCUAGCGACAGGCCAACACAUGCAAGCGAGGGGCAGCACAAGGAGCAAUCUGAGGUGGCGACCGGCGCACGGGUGAGUAACACGUAUGCAACCUACCUGUAAGAGGGGAAUAACCCGUUAGAAAAACGGACUAAUACCGCAUAACACUGUAGAACCGCAUGGUUUGACAGUUAAACAUUUAUGGCUUACAGAUGGGCAUGCGCAUGAUUAGCUAGUUGGUGAGGUAACGGCUCACCAAGGCAACGAUCAUUAGGGGUUCUGAGAGGAAGGUCCCCCACACUGGUACUGAGACACGGACCAGACUCCUACGGGAGGCAGCAGUGAGGAAUAUUGGUCAAUGGGCGAGAGCCUGAACCAGCCAAGUCGCGUGAAGGAUGAAGGUUUUAUGAAUUGUAAACUUCUUUUGCAGGGGAAUAAAGUGUCCGACGUGUCGGAUUUUGUAUGUACUCUGCGAAUAAGGAUCGGCUAACUCCGUG
rnacentral:rRNA from 1 species